GAGAAUGCCGGUGUGAGUAGCGAAAGACGGGUGAGAAUCCCGUCCACCGAUUGACUAAGGUUUCCAGAGGAAGGCUCGUCCGCUCUGGGUUAGUCGGGUCCUAAGCUGAGGCCGACAGGCGUAGGCGAUGGAUAACAGGUUGAUAUUCCUGUACCACCUAUAAUCGUUUUAAUCGAUGGGGGGACGCAGUAGGAUAGGCGAAGCGUGCGAUUGGAUUGCACGUCUAAGCAGUAAGGCUGAGUAUUAGGCAAAUCCGGUACUCGUUAAGGCUGAGCUGUGAUGGGGAGAAGACAUUGUGUCUUCGAGUCGUUGAUUUCACACUGCCGAGAAAAGCCUCUAGAUAGAAAAUAGGUGCCCGUACCGCAAACCGACACAGGUAGUCAAGAUGAGAAUUCUAAGGUGAGCGAGCGAACUCUCGUUAAGGAACUCGGCAAAAUGACCCCGUAACUUCGGGAGAAGGGGUGCUCUUUAGGGUUAACGCCCAGAAGAGCCGCAGUGAAUAGGCCCAAGCGACUGUUUAUCAAAAACACAGGUCUCUGCUAAACCGUAAGGUGAUGUAUAGGGGCUGACGCCUGCCCGGUGCUGGAAGGUUAAGAGGAGUGGUUAGCUUCUGCGAAGCUACGAAUCGAAGCCCCAGUAAACGGCGGCCGUAACUAUAACGGUCCUAAGGUAGCGAAAUUCCUUGUCGGGUAAGUUCCGACCCGCACGAAAGGCGUAACGAUUUGGGCACUGUCUCAACGAGAGACUCGGUGAAAUCAUAGUACCUGUGAAGAUGCAGGUUACCCGCGACAGGACGGAAAGACCCCGUGGAGCUUUACUGUAGCCUGAUAUUGAAAUUCGGCACAGCUUGUACAGGAUAGGUAGGAGCCUUUGAAACGUGAGCGCUAGCUUACGUGGAGGCGCUGGUGGGAUACUACCCUAGCUGUGUUGGCUUUCUAACCCGCACCACUUAUCGUGGUGGGAGACAGUGUCAGGCGGGCAGUUUGACUGGGGCGGUCGCCUCCUAAAAGGUAACGGAGGCGCUCAAAGGUUCCCUCAGAAUGGUUGGAAAUCAUUCAUAGAGUGUAAAGGCAUAAGGGAGCUUGACUGCGAGACCUACAAGUCGAGCAGGGUCGAAAGACGGACUUAGUGAUCCGGUGGUUCCGCAUGGAAGGGCCAUCGCUCAACGGAUAAAAGCUACCCCGGGGAUAACAGGCUUAUCUCCCCCAAGAGUUCACAUCGACGGGGAGGUUUGGCACCUCGAUGUCGGCUCAUCGCAUCCUGGGGCUGUAGUCGGUCCCAAGGGUUGGGCUGUUCGCCCAUUAAAGCGGUACGCGAGCUGGGUUCAGAACGUCGUGAGACAGUU
rnacentral:rRNA from 1 species